rnacentral:rRNA from 1 species
ACAGCCGGCCAUAGCGUGUGGGUCCCACCUGGACUCGUUCCGACCCCAGACUCCAAAGAGGGGGAGAAGUGAAACCACGCGACGCUUGGGUGCUAGUGAGGUGCGAGAGCCCUCGUGAAGCCUGAGUGCCGGCACCU